GCAGUCGAACGAACUCUGGUAUUGAUUGGUGCUUGCAUCAUGAUUUACAUUUGAGUGAGUGGCGAACUGGUGAGUAACACGUGGGAAACCUGCCCAGAAGCGGGGGAUAACACCUGGAAACAGAUGCUAAUACCGCAUAACAACUUGGACCGCAUGGUCCGAGUUUGAAAGAUGGCUUCGGCUAUCACUUUUGGAUGGUCCCGCGGCGUAUUAGCUAGAUGGUGGGGUAACGGCUCACCAUGGCAAUGAUACGUAGCCGACCUGAGAGGGUAAUCGGCCACAUUGGGACUGAGACACGGCCCAAACUCCUACGGGAGGCAGCAGUAGGGAAUCUUCCACAAUGGACGAAAGUCUGAUGGAGCAACGCCGCGUGAGUGAAGAAGGGUUUCGGCUCGUAAAACUCUGUUGUUAAAGAAGAACAUAUCUGAGAGUAACUGUUCAGGUAUUGACGGUAUUUAACCAGAAAGCCACGGCUAACUACGUGCCAGCAGCCGCGGUAAUACGUAGGUGGCAAGCGUUGUCCGGAUUUAUUGGGCGUAAAGCGAGCGCAGGCGGUUUUUUAAGUCUGAUGUGAAAGCCUUCGGCUCAACCGAAGAAGUGCAUCGGAAACUGGGAAACUUGAGUGCAGAAGAGGACAGUGGAACUCCAUGUGUAGCGGUGAAAUGCGUAGAUAUAUGGAAGAACACCAGUGGCGAAGGCGGCUGUCUGGUCUGUAACUGACGCUGAGGCUCGAAAGUAUGGGUAGCAAACAGGAUUAGAUACCCUGGUAGUCCAUACCGUAAACGAUGAAUGCUAAGUGUUGGAGGGUUUCCGCCCUUCAGUGCUGCAG
rnacentral:rRNA from 1 species